AGGAAAAGAAACCAACAGGGAUUGCCCUAGUAACGGCGAGUGAACAGGCAAGAGCUCAGAUUUGAAAGCCUUUUUGGCAUUGUAUUCUGAAGUCAGUUUCCUGAGUAUCGGUGUUUAAGUCUUCUGGAAAGGAGCGCCAUGGAGGGUGAUAGCCCCGUACGACACCUCACUCAUUGUAGGAUUCUGACGUGGAGUCGAGUUGUUUGGGAAUGCAGCUCAAAAGGGUGGUAUGCUCCAUCUAAAGCUAAAUAUCUGUGAGAGACCGAUAGCGAACAAGUACUGUGAAGGAAAGAUGAAAAGAACUUUGAAAAGAGAGUGAAAAAGUACGUGAAAUUGUUGAAAUGGAAGGAUAUGCCGCUAACAAUGUAGAGCCGUGUUUGGGGGGAAGACAAAAGCUGAAGAAUGUAUCUCUUUUAGGGAAUUAUAACUUCAGUCAAUAUUCCCAUCCGGGCGCGAGGACCUCAGGCUCUACUAAAUGGUGGUCUAUCACCCGUCU
rnacentral:rRNA from 1 species